UAACUUAGUCAAACAUAACUCUAUCAUAUCAUGUUUAAUCAUAGCAUACCUCAAAUACAAUGUAUCAUGUAAUUUUAAUGUAAGCAAUCUAUCAUAACAUCUCAAUCAUACAUGUUUUCCCUUAACUACAUUAAUACAUGAUACAAAAUAUACAUGCAAUUUUAACAUGGGGAUCCAAUAGAAAAAUCUCUUACCUAGAUAUUAGCUACACAAAAUUUAAUCAUGGCUGCGGUCAAACUUUCCAAUAAGCCAAUCCAACGAAUGAGGUUGAAAUCCAAUUCGACCUUAGUUCGGAGAAUUUCACAACUCAAAUUCCCAAUUAAAAUUUACCAAACGUUCAAGCAAAAUAUCUCAUCUUAAAAUCCACAACUUAACUUGGUUGGGACAAAAUAGAUAAAUACUGGAAGUACCAUAUCCAAUCAAAAGUAAGCAAUUCUCACCAAGUAGUGUCUCAAAACAGGGAACGACUCGACAAAGGCAGUCGACUCGGGCGCACGGCUCGCGAAAAGGAACCGGCUCGAACACUUGCACUCGCGCAGCUUGGAGACGUGCGACUUGAUGGGGGGAACGACUAUGUGAAGGUUGUAGCAGCUCGGGUCUAAAACGCGGCUGACGCGUGCAACUUGAAGAGGGGCUCGGCUGCGUGGGUUAUGUGCGGCUGUCGAGAUGGGGAACGAUCAGCGUCGUGGACUUCUGUACAAAGAGAGACGAUCGACGACGGAGGAGAAGUGCACGGAGGAAGACAAAGGUCGUUCGACGGUCUAAACGCAACAACAAGUCGACGCGGCUGGAGGGAAUCGAAUGGUUGGCUACGCGAUCGUGACACUUCGACUUUGGGACGAACUGAGACGCUCUCACCGAAAUGCUGCACGCGACGAAGGCUAGAGGAGUGGGGCGACGGCGUCUGCUCCUAGGGAUUCUUUGUAGAGAGGAAAUGUGAAUGGUAAAGGCACGUGAGAACCUCUAUUAAAUAUAUACAAUAAUAAUAUUAUCUAUUUUCCCCAAAUAACUCCUCUUUUCCUUUUUCUCUUUCCAAUCCAAUUAAUUUCUCUCUCUCUUUGAUAAGGCAAUCAAAUUAUCUCCUCUAAAUUCUCA
rnacentral:lncRNA from 1 species